rnacentral:misc_RNA from 1 species
GAAGUGCGAAACGUGUCAUGACUUGCAGAUUCCCGAGAGCUGACGAAUCUCUGAAUGCAAAUGGCGGCCGCUUGACUCGGCCAUGGAUUGCAGAGUGUAGUGGUUCCAACUCCUCAUCCAAUCGCAACACCGAUUGCGAUUGCAUCUGCGCUUGCAAACCAAAUCGCGAGCGUUAAAAGGCGAGUUGAGGGGCUCUCAUCCCGAGGGCCUCUUAACUACGGAAUAUGUACACUUGUUGUGCGUCGGCGCUAAGCCAUUCAUUUGGCCGGCGCUGCUGUGCAACAAACCACCAAAUUCCACACACGCAAAACAAAUAAUUUCAACCCCACCUCUGCAAUGCAGGAUUACCCGCUGAACUUAA